CCUACGGGCGGCAGCAGUGGGGAAUAUUGCACAAUGGGGGAAACCCUGAUGCAGCGACGCCGCGUGAGUGAAGAAGUCAUUCGUUAUGUAAAGCUCUAUCAGCAGGGAAGAAAAUGACGGUACCUGAGUAAGAAGCCCCGGCUAACUACGUGCCAGCAGCCGCGGUAAUACGUAGGGGGCAAGCGUUAUCCGGAUUUCAUGGGUGUAAAGGGAGCGUAAACGGCAGUGCAAGUCUGGAGUGAAAGGCGCGGGCUUAAACCGCGGACCGCUCUGGAAACUGUACGGCUGGAGUGCAGGAGAGGCAAGGGGAAGUCCUGGUGUAGCGGUGAAAUGCGUAGAUAUUAGGAGGAACACCAGUGGCGAAGGCGGCUUACUGGACUGUAACUGACGUUGAGGCUCGAAAGCGUGGGGAGCAAACAGGAUUAGAUACCCCAGUAGUC
rnacentral:rRNA from 1 species